rnacentral:lncRNA from 1 species
CCAUAGAUUAUUCUCGUCCCUGACAACGAGUUAAGCGACGACCAUCACCACCAUCCACCACCGCCGACGAAGGCCUUGAGGAGCGCAUCCGUCGGGCGGCGACGACCACGGCGGUCGGGGGGCUUCUAGCCACACUUCUUGGCGGAGGUGGAGGAGGCGAAGGCCCAGGUGACGCCGAAGGGGUCGACGAGGGUGGCGCCCAGCCCGCAGCCGUCCUCGGUUACCUCCCCCUGCAGCGCCGCACCGGCGGUCGCCGCCUGCGCCGCGGCAGCGUUCACGUCGUCGGUCUCCAGGCGCAGAACCAGCCCACUAGCCGCGGCGCCUUCCUUG